rnacentral:rRNA from 1 species
UACGUAGGGUGCAAGCGUUGUCCGGAAUUAUUGGGCGUAAAGAGCGUGUAGGCGGCCCGAUAAGUCCGCUGUGAAAGUCCAGGGCUCAACCCUGGAAUGCCAGUGGAAACUGUCGGGCUGGAGUCCGGGAAGAGGCGAGUGGAAUUCCUGGUGUAGCGGUGAAAUGCGCAGAUAUCAGGAGGAACACCAAUGGCGAAGGCAGCUCGCUGGGACGGUACUGACGCUGAGACGCGAAAGCGUGGGGGAGCGAACAGG